rnacentral:sRNA from 1 species
AUGGCGGCCAUGAGUUUGUUGCGGCGGGUUUCGGUUACUGCGGUGGCAGCUCUGUCUGGCCGCCCCCUUGGCACUCGCCUCGGAUUUGGGGGCUUCCUCACUCGUGGCUUUCCGAAGGCUGCUGCUCCUGUUCGACACAGUGGAGACCAUGGGAAAAGACUAUUUGUCAUCAGACCUUCUAGAUUCUAUGACAGGCGUUUUUUGAAGUUAUUGGUAAGUUUAAAUUUCUUGUUGAAUUAAAGUCUUUGCAUGUAACAGGGAAAAAAUUUUUGCCUCUUUAGAAGACAUCUUUCAUUUUAUGAAAUAUUUUAUUUUGUAAAUUUAUAUUUCUGUAGAAGAUACUAAGACUGUAAAGUCUGAUUUGUUAUUGAAUUUCUCUUUAAAUUAGUGAAGCUUUCCUUCUUCACAAAAGGAUUUACACUAAAUGGAGGUAAAACUUGAACCAUUCCUUUCUUCUGAAGAUUAUGGCAUUUCGAAAUAGAAUCUGUGUUCCUAUAACUAAAAUAUUCUUUAAAUUACCAAAGAACUUGUUGAAAGACUUGCUUAAAUAAAGGAGCU